UACCAGCACCCCGAGUGGUCGGGACGAUUAUUGGGCCUAAAGCAUCCGUAGCCGGUUCUACAAGUCUUCCGUUAAAUCCACCUGCUUAACAGAUGGGCUGCGGAGGAUACUAUAGAGCUAGGAGGCGGGAGAGGCAAGCGGUACUUAGUGGGUAGGGGUAAAAUCCGUUGAUCCAUUGAAGACCACCAGUGGCGAAGGCGGACUUGCCAGAACGCACUCGACGGUGAGGGAUGAAAGCUGGGGGAGCAAACCGG
rnacentral:rRNA from 1 species